UUGUGCCUACGGGGGGCAGCAGUGAGGAAUAUUGGUCAAUGGGCGCAAGCCUGAACCAGCCAAGUCGCGUGAGGGAUGACGGUCCUAUGGAUUGUAAACCUCUUUUGUCGGGGAGCAAGGCCCGCCACGUGUGGCGGGAAGGAGAGUAACCGAAGAAAAAGCAUCGGCUAACUCCGUGCCAGCAGCCGCGGUAAUACGGAGGAUGGGAGCGUUAUCCGGAUUUAUUGGGUUUAAAGGGUGCGUAGGCGGAAGGUUAAGUCAGCGGGCAAAUGCCGGUGCUCA
rnacentral:rRNA from 1 species